rnacentral:misc_RNA from 1 species
GAAAUGCGAUAAGUAAUGUGAAUUGCAGAAUUCAGUGAAUCAUCGAAUCUUUGAACGCACCUUGCGCUCCUUGGUAUUCCUUGGAGCAUGCCUGUUUGAGUAUCAUGAAAUCUUCAAAGUAAAUCUUUUGUUAACUCAAUUGGUUUCUACUUUGGUAUUGGAGGUCUUUGCAGCUUCACACCUGCUCCUCUUUGUUCAUUAGCUGGAUCUCAGUGUUAUGCUUGGUUCCACUCGGCGUGAUAAGUUAUCUAUCGCUGAGGACACUGUAAAAGGUGGCCAAGGUAAAUGCAGAUGAACCGCUUCUAAUAGUCCAUUGACUUGGACAAUACUUUUAUGAUCUGAUAUCAAAUCAGGUAGGACUACCCGCUGAGCUUAAGC